AGCCAGUCGUUACUUCGAUGCCGUUCGGGCUGAGGAAGCGCGAACGGCAUCGAAGUAACGACUGGAUAAAAAAAGUUUCUUAUCCGAAACUCACG
rfam:Legionella shakespearei DSM 23087 strain ATCC 49655 Lsha_ctg033, whole genome shotgun sequence.